AACAGCUCAAAUUUGAAAUCUGACCCCGGCGGGGUCCGAGUUGUAAUUUGCAGAGGGUGUUUCGGGCGCGAUGCCGGUCUAAGUUCCUUGGAACAGGACGUCGUAGAGGGUGAGAAUCCCGUAUGCGACCGGCGAUCAAGCCCGUGCGAAGCCCCUUCGACGAGUCGAGUUGUUUGGGAAUGCAGCUCAAAAUGGGUGGUAAAUUUCAUCUAAAGCUAAAUACCGGCCAGAGACCGAUAGCGGACAAGUAGAGUGAUCGAAAGAUGAAAAGCACUUUGGAAAGAGAGUCAAACAGUACGUGAAAUUGUUGAAAGGGAAGCGCUUGCGAUCAGACCGGUCCGCCGGCGAUCAGCCGCUGCUCGUCAGCGGUGCACUCGCCGGCGAUCCGGCCAGCAUCGGUUCAGGCGGCGGGACAAAAACCUCGGGAACGUAGCUUCUCUCGGGGAGUCUUAUAGCCCGGGGCAUCAUGCCGCCCGCCCGGACCGAGGACCGCGCUUCGGCUAGGAUGCUGGCGUAAUGGUCGCAAGCG
rnacentral:rRNA from 1 species